AUUGAACGCUGGCGGCAUGCUUUACACAUGCAAGUCGAACGGCAGCGCGGGCUUCGGCCUGGCGGCGAGUGGCGAACGUGUGAGUAAUGCAUCGGAACGUGCCCAGUAGUGGGGGAUAGCCCGUCGAAAGCCGGAUUAAUACCGCAUACGACCUGAGGGUGAAAGCGGGGGACCGAAAGGCCUCGCGCUAUUGGAGCGGCCGAUGUCGGAUUAGCUAGUUGGUGGGGUAAAGGCUUACCAAGGCGACGAUCCGUAGCUGGUCUGAGAGGACGACCAGCCACACUGGGACUGAGACACGGCCCAGACUCCUACGGGAGGCAGCAGUGGGGAAUUUUGGACAAUGGGGGCAACCCUGAUCCAGCCAUGCCGCGUGCGGGAAGAAGGCCUUCGGGUUGUAAACCGCUUUUGUUCGGGAAGAAAUCCUCUGGGCUAAUACCCCGGGGGGAUGACGGUACCGGAAGAAUAAGCACCGGCUAACUACGUG
rnacentral:rRNA from 1 species